AGAGCUCACAAGUUUGAGGCCACAGCAGAAGCACUUCCAGCACAGCCCUGUCAGAUUCCAACAAAUCUGUGAAUUCUGCA
rnacentral:ribozyme from 1 species